GGCAACUUGGCCGAGCGGUCUAAGGCGCCAGACUCAAGAUAAUGGGACGUUCAACGGUUCCCAAGUCUUCCCUGAUACCAGGGAGUAUUCUGGUCUCGAAAGAGGCGUGAGUUCGAAUCUCACAGUUGUCA
rnacentral:tRNA from 1 species